rnacentral:lncRNA from 1 species
AAGAUCAAUUUUAAAUCAUCUAAACUUUUAAAUUUAAGACUAAAAAUCAGAUUAUACAUGUCUUAAAAAUUUAUGGCUCUAAUACUACUAUUAGAAGAUCGGGUAGGAUUGCAUGCAUAGAUUUUAAAACCUUUUUGAGUAGCAAUAGAAAAUGAUCUAGCUUAAACCCUUUAACCCCAUAUGCAAUAGAUCUAAUAUACAUCUACCCGAGCCCUGGAUCUAAGAUAUGCACAUAAUCUAAAAAUUAAAAAAUAAAAACUGAGAUCAGAUCUCAAUACCU